rnacentral:rRNA from 1 species
UACGGGGGGGGCAAGCGUUGUUCGGAAUUACUGGGCGUAAAGGGCGUGUAGGCGGCCAACUAAGUCCGACGUGAAAUCCCCAGGCUUAACCUGGGAACUGCGUCGGAUACUGGAUGGCUUGAAUCCGGGAGAGGGAUGCAGAAUUCCAGGUGUAGCGGUGAAAUGCGUAGAUAUCUGGAGGAACACCGGUGGCGAAGGCGGCAUCCUGGACCAUUACUGACACUGAAUAGCGAAAGCCAGGGGAGCAAACGGG